rnacentral:lncRNA from 1 species
CCGUGAGUUUCCUUUCAGGUGAGAGCCUUCAGCAGAGCACCAUGCCCUGUGGAAAGGGUCGCUCGCCUUCUUCUCCUUGGCAGAGUGACUUCCAGGCUGGGGCUCCGUGAGGCUGAUGGUGCUGCUGGCAGAGAUCAGCUGAGAGGUGCAAGCACCAAGAUGAGAUAAGGCUGAGCAGAUCCCCUGCUCCAGGGCAGGAAAUGCACCUGGGCAAAGCAAGCAGGGAGGCACAUAGCAGAGACUCCAGGUGGCACAGCCUGCGGCUCUCCAUUGAGAAGCGUGGCUCUGAAACAAAACAAGAUACAGCUGCCCCCGUCAGCUCUGAGUGAAGGAUCCUUCCAGUACUUGAAAGCUUGCUGGAGGGUUUUACUGGAAGAGCUCACUGUUUGUCAUAAUUCCAGUUUGUGUCAUAAUUCCAGAGAGUGGCGAACUAUAUCGACUGUGAAGUCCGCUGUGGCCCUUGCAGUUAAGGGAUGAAGUGCUGCAGGAGAAUGACAAAGUAGGUGGAGCCAUCCGGUGACUUGAAUAUAGCUGAAAACAAAAGAGGUGGUGGAAUGGAGAUAUCAAUCAGAAAUGACAAGCCCAAGAUUAUGCCAAGGCUCUCUGGUGCCUGCGAUGAUGGGCUCCCAUCAGCAGAAGGGCGACGGACAAGGGAUCUCUGAGCAGUCUGGUGGAUGCCAUGGCGGUGGUGGUGGAGGAGGUUCAUGCCAUGGUGGUGGUGGAGGAGGAUCCUGCCACUCCAGUGGGGGUGGAGGCUCUAUAGGAUACCAGAUCCAGGGAUCGUCCUGCCACAGUGGAGGAAGCAGCAGCAGUGGUGGUGCUAUCUACCAGACCCACAUAUCAUCAUCUUCCUUUGGAGGAGGAGGAGGAGGAGGAGGAUCUUCAGGCCACCAGAGCCAAGGAUCCAUCGGUGGUGGAAGUGGUGGUGGUGGUGGGUCAGGCCACCAAGGACAAGAACCCAUCUGCAUUAUUGGAGGAGGUGGCGGUGGUGGUGGUGGUGGUGGAGGCGGUUACAGCCACCAAAGCCAAGGCUCCAUCUGCAUUGGAGGUGGCAGCAUGGGUGGAGGAGGUGGAGGUGGUUCUGGCCACCAGGGCCAAGGACCCAUCUGCAUUAUUGGUGGAGGAGGAGGUGGUUCUGGCCACCAGAGUCAGGGACCCAUCUGCAUUGGUGGAGGUGGAGGAGGAGGAGGAGGUGGUUCUGGCCACCAGAGCCAAGGACCAAUCUGCAUUGGUGGAGGAGGAGGAGGAAAAGGAGGAGGUGGUGGUUCUGGCCACCAGGGCCAAGGAUCUAUCUGCAUUAUUGGUGGAGGUGGAGGAGGAGGAGGAGGAGGUGGAGGAGGAGGAGGAGGAGGAGGUGGUGGUUCUGGCCACCAGAGCCAAGGACCAAUCUGCAUUGGUGGAGGAGGAGGAGGAAAAGGAGGAGGAGGUGGUUCUGGCCACCAGGGCCAAGGACCCAUCUGCAUUAUUGGUGGAGGAGGAGGGGAAGGUGGUUCCAGUCACCAGGGCCAAGGACCCAUCUGCAUAGGUGGAGGAGGAGGAGGAGGAGGAGGUGGUGGUUCUGGCCACCAAGGCCAAGGACCCGUUUGCGUUAUUGGUGGAGGUGGAGGUGGAGGAGGAGGAGGUGGUUCUGGCCACCAGAGCCAAGGACCAAUCUGCAUUGGUGGAGGAGGAGGAGGAGGAGGAGGAGGAGGUGGGUCUGGCCACCAAGGCCAAGGACCCGUCUGCAUUAUUGGAGGAGGUGGAGGAGGAGGAGGAGGAGGUGGUGGUUCUGGCCACCAAGGCCAAGUACCUGUCUGCAUUAUUGGUGGAGGUGGAGGAGGAGGUGGUUCUGGCCACCAAGGCCAAGGACCCAUCUGCAUAGGUGGUGGAGGAGGAGGAGGAGGAGGAGGAGGAGGAGGUGGUUCUGGNGGCCAAGGACCCAUCUGCAUAGGUGGUGGAGGAGGAGGAGGAGGAGGAGGAGGAGGAGGUGGUUCUGGCCACCAAGGCCAAGGACCCAUCUGCAUUAUUGGUGGAGGCGGAGGUGGUGGAGGAGGAGGAGGUGGUUCUGGCCACCAGAGCCAAGGACCAAUCUGCAUAGGUGGAGGAGGAGGAGGAGGAGGUGGAGGAGGUGGGUCUGGCCACCAAGGCCAAGGACCCGUCUGCAUUAUUGGUGGAGGUGGAGGAGGAGGAGGAGGAGGUGGUGGUUCUGGCCACCAGAGCCAAGGAUCCAUCUGUAUUAUUGGAGGAGGUGGUUCUGGCCAGAGCCAGGGUUCCUCUUCUUUUGGAGGAGGUGCUGGUGGAGGUGGUUCGUCGAGCUCUGGGGGUAUGUCCAUUCAGCAGCAGACCCAACCAAUCUCCUGGCCACCACAGACUAAACAUAAGUAGUGGCUUUAGAAGAGAACCUUGUAACAAGAAAGCCCAGAAUGUAAACAUGUCACAUUUAUUUCUUUCUCUAUUAAAUGUAAGAAUACUGGUGUGAUUUCUUUCUCCUCUUCAUUGGAAUAUUUCUCUUCACCUCUCCAGAUGACCAGAACCUCUGGUGGUGUGUAUCAGUAACUUGCGCCUUGAUGCAGGUUGUUUGAUAUGUCCAUUUUCUGCCUCGACUUUCUAACGCUUGCACAAGAUAAUAAAACUUGCCACUCUAGAGAGCUUCA